ACCCGUAAUUAACCUAGACUCGAACACGGCUAGAAAGAAAGUUCUUUGUUUUCACAUUUCGUUGGAUUACUCGUAACUCCCCCGUCCUGUGGUACGCAAUAGCAAUUUAUUUUUCCACGCUAUAAGCGCCGAUUAGGCGAGAUUUACACAAAAUUAGAUAUUUAGGAAAUAGACAUGUCUAACAAAGCUACUGGUACAGUUAAGUGGUUCAACGAAACUAAAGGCUUCGGUUUCAUCCAACAAGAAAACGGUCCUGACGUUUUCGCUCACUUCUCUGCAAUCCAAGGUGACGGCUUCCGUACGCUUGUUGAAGGUCAGAAAGUAGAAUUCGAAAUCACUCAAGGUCAAAAAGGUCCACAAGCUGAGAAAAUCACUCUAGUUUAAUCCUUUUAAGAUUUUGAUAUGAUAGCCAGCUUUUAGCUGGCUAUUUUU
rnacentral:sRNA from 1 species